UUGGACUUAGAAUAGGCAACAUCCCUAUGUUGUGGAAAGGACUUGGCCAAUGCCAUUAUUGGAGACUAAGUUAUCUUGGCCAAUGUCAUUCAUCUGAUACAAGCCUUGAAGGCUCCCUUUGGUUCAUUUGUUAUUUUUUCUCUGUACUUAAGUUGUUAUUUUGAUCUUAUUAUUUAUAUAUGAUGAUUGUUUCUAUGAGUUUACCACAAGGAAUAUUUCAUCUAAUACAUUUGAAGACACUGAAGACUGCUUGCUUUUGGAGUUCUUGCUUGGAUUUUGG
rnacentral:lncRNA from 1 species